rnacentral:rRNA from 1 species
AUUGAACGCUGGCGGCAUGCUUUACACAUGCAAGUCGAACGGUAACAGGCCGCCAGGUGCUGACGAGUGGCGAACGGGUGAGUAAUGCAUCGGAACGUGCCCAGUCGUGGGGGUUAACUACUCGAAAGAGUAGCUAAUACCGCAUACGAUCUAUGGAUGAAAGCGGGGGACCGUAAGGCCUCGCGCGAUUGGAGCGGCCGAUGUCAGAUUAGGUAGUUGGUGGGGUACAGGCUCACCAAGCCAACGAUCAAUAGCUGGUCUGAGAGGACGACCAGCCACACUGGGACUGAGGCACGGCCCAGACUCCUACGGGAGGCAGCAGUGGAGAAUUUUGGACAAUGGGCGCAAGCCUGAUCCAGCAAUGCCGCGGGCAGGAAGAAGGCCUUCGGGUUGGAAACUGCUUUUGUACGGAACGAAACGGCUCUGGUUAAUACCCGGGGCUAAUGACGGUACCGUAAGAAUAAGCACCGGCUAACUACGUG